GAUGAACGCUGGCGGCGUGCUUAACACAUGCAAGUCGAACGAAGCACCUUGAUUCGAUUCUUCGGAUGAAGAUCUUGGUGACUGAGUGGCGGACGGGUGAGUAACGCGUGGGUAACCUGCCUCAUACAGGGGGAUAACAGUUAGAAAUGACUGCUAAUACCGCAUAAGACCACAGCACCGCAUGGUGCAGGGGUAAAAACUCCGGUGGUAUGAGAUGGACCCGCGUCUGAUUAGGUAGUUGGUGGGGUAACGGCCUACCAAGCCGACGAUCAGUAGCCGACCUGAGAGGGUGACCGGCCACAGUGGGACUGAGACACGGCCCAAACUCCUACGGGAGGCAGCAGUGGGGAAUAUUGAACAAUGGGGGAAACCCUGAUGCAGCGACGCCGCGUGAGCGAUGAAGUAUUUCGGUAUGUAAAGCUCUAUCAGCAGGGAAGAAAAUGACGGUACCUGACUAAGAAGCACCGGCUAAAUACGUG
rnacentral:rRNA from 1 species